CGAAACCGCGAAUGGCUCAUUAUAUCAGUUAUGGUUCACAAGAUCGUACUUUACUACUUGGAUAACUGUGGUAAUUCUAGAGCUAAUACAUGCAGCAGAGCUCCGACCUUCGUUCGCGAAGGGACGAGCGCUUUUAUUAGACCAAAAUCAAACGGUGUUGAGCCUCGCAAGGGGUUCUCCCGUUAACAAGUGGUGACUCUGUAUAACUUUUGUCUGAUCGCACGGGCUUGUCCCGGCGACGUAUCUUUCAAGUGUCUGCCUUAUCAACUGUCGAUGGUAGGUUAUGCGCCUACCAUGGUCGUAACGGGUGACGGGGGAUCAGGGUUCGAUCCCGGAGAGGGAGCCUGAGAAACGGCUACCACAUCCAAGGAAGGCAGCAGGCGCGCAAAUUACCCACUCCCGGCACGGGGAGGUAGUGACGAAAAAUAACAAUACAAGACUCUUUUGAGACCUUGUAAUUGGAAUGAGUACACUCUAAAUACUUUAACGAGGAUCCAUUGGAAGGCAAGUCCGGUGCCAGCAGCUGCGGUAACUCCAGCUCCAAUAGCGUAUAUUAAAGUUGUUGCGGUUAAAAAGCUCGUAGUUGGAUCUCAGUUACGGACGGGUGGACUAUUCCAAUAAACCUUGGAGUAGUUUUUUCUGCCCGCUUUCCGGACAUUUUCCGCCGGUUUCUCUUGAUGAUCUUCACCGGUUGUCUUGGGUGACCGGCAUGUUUACUUUGAAAAAAUUAGAGUGCUCAAAGCAUGCGUGAUGCAUGAAUAAUGGUGCAUGGAAUAAUGGAAUAGGACCUCGGUUCUGUUUUGUUGGUUUUUUCGGAACUUCGAGGUAAUGAUUAAGAGGGACAGACGGGGGCAUUCGUAUUGCGACGCUAGAGGUGAAAUUCUUGGACCGUCGCAAGACGAACUACUNNNNNNNNNNNNNNNNNNNNUGUUUCCAUUAAUCAAGAACGAAAGUUAGAGGUUCGAAGGCGAUCAGAUACCGCCCUAGUUCUAACCAUAAACGAUGCCAGCCAGCGAUCCGUCUGUGUUCCUCAAAUGACACGACGGGCAGCUUCCGGGAAACCAAAGCUUUUGGGUUCCGGGGGAAGNNNNNNNNNNNNNNNNNNNNUUAAAGGAAUUGGCGGAAGGGCACCACCAGGAAUGGGGCCUGCGGCUUAAUUUGACUCAACACGGGAAAACUUACCCGGCCCGGACACAGGAAGGAUUGACAGAUUAAGAGCUCUUUCUUGAUUCUGUGGGUGGUGGUGCAUGGCCGUUCUUAGUUGGUGGAGCGAUUUGUCUGGUUAAUUCCGAUAACGAACGAGACUCUAGCCUACUAAAUAGGCGUUCCGAUUCUUCUAAAAGUCGGACGUUUCUCUUCUUAGAGGGACAAGCGGCGUUUAGCCGCACGAGACAGANNNNNNNNNNNNNNNNNNNNNNNNNNNNNNNCCGGGGCCGCACGCGCGCCACAUUGAAGGAAUCAGCGUGUGCUUUCCCGGUCCGACAGGAUUGGGUAACCCGUUGAACCUCCUUCGUGCUGGGGAUAGAACCUUGUAAUUAGUUCUUGAACGAGGAAUUCCCAGUAAGCACGAGUCAUCAGCUCGUGUUGAUUACGUCCCUGCCCUUUGCACACACCGCCCGUCGCUACUACCGAUUGAAUGAUUAAGUGAGGUCUUCGGACUGGCGCUCGGAUUGGCCUUCGGGUCGAGCCGAAGUGCCGGAAAGAUGACCAAACUUGAUCACUUAGAGAUAGUAAAAG
rnacentral:rRNA from 1 species